CAAAGGGAAUGACAAAAGUACUAGCAGAACCCCCAGCCCAACCUAGACCACGGGGUGCUCCAGAGAAACAGCCAAUAGAUAGAAAUAUCAGCAUUCAAAGAGAUUUACUGAAGGCACUGGCUGAUGUGAUGGUGGGGUCUGGUGAGGCGAGUCCCAAACUGCAGAGCAAGCCUUCCUCAGAGGCAGCCGGCGCGACUCAGACAGGAGCUGGUGCUGCGGUCCACAGGCGGAGUUGCUUCUUUUCAAUGAAUUGAUCAGGCCCACCCAGAUUAUUCGGGAGAUGGGCUUCACUUUGUUGCCCAGGCUGGUCUCCAACUCCUGGCGUCCGGCGAUCCUCCUGCCUCAGCCUCCCAAAGUGCUGGGAUGACAGGCAUGAGCCCUCACACCUGCCCUAACAUUUUGAUGGAUGAAGCCAAAUUGCCCUUCCAGAAGCUUCUGCUUGUGCCCAGGCACAUUGACAUGAGGGCCUCGAAUCCUGCCUGAGCUCCAUGAAGUCUGCAGUGGCGUGAGUGGAAACCUCUGCCUCCACGGUGAAAUGUCACUGACUACUGGAAAUUAGGCGAAUGCAUUAGUGCACAGCAGAGGUGGCACGGGGAGCAGUCAAUGUGUGUCAGUCUCCCCCCAGCGGACGGUGGCGAGCUGAGAUGAGGUUGU